rnacentral:lncRNA from 1 species
AUGCCAACCACAUAGGUUGACAAAAGUCCAUUUGAAUCCUGUGUGACAUCUUGGCCUGUUUUGUCCUCAACUUGUAGCCAAACAUAUGGUGCAGGGCUUUGGAGAAGAAUCUUUAAACUGGCAGGGGCCCAUCGAUGUCACUGAGCAUGUACGCCCCAUUUUAGUCAACAUGGUUCCAAAUUGGAGCCGGAGCCCUGUCUAUUUGUGCUGAAAUAUGAGGAGGUCCAGAUAUUUUUAUAUCUCCUAAGCCUUCCAGAGAAGUAUAAUUAUCAGCACUCCAAAGAGCUAGGAACAUAAGCCAAAUCCAAACAAAUUAGGGAGUGAGAGCAGAAGAGCUACAGCUGUUGGGUCACACUGGGUAUAAAAUGGUUGAGGAUUUUCAGAAACUGGAGAAGAAUGUCACCUCAGUGAAAUUUCAGUGAUAAAAUGAACUUGCUCUUUAACACUUUUCUCUCCAAUACUAGAGGAAAUCAGCUCAAGAGGACAAUAGCUUCUAAGUAUGGAUGGAACAAAAAUGGAAAGGCAGAAAUGGCAUUUCUAUACCACCAGCCAGCAAUCAGCAAUUUGAGAAUCUUCUGGAAAUUCUAUAGUUUUUGGCAGCAAAGUGCUUUUUGAACCAACAAGAAGAACAUCUUGGGGCAUGAGUCAGCUUCCACAGAAAUCAUUUUCCCCAGCUUCCUCUGAAAGUACGUAUCUGAAUCUAUUUUUGCUUAUUCAUACCAUAUUUUCCUUUCCAAAUUAGGAAAUACACAAUUUACUGCAGGCAAUAUGUUGGAUGAAAAGGGCCUUUUGGAGUACUCUAGAAAAAAAAAAACUGUACAGA